AUCCAAAUAGUGUAGUGGUUAUCACGUUUCCUUUACACGGAAAAGGUCUCCGGUUCGAACCCGGGUUUGGGUA
rfam:Piromyces finnis strain finn BCR36scaffold_61, whole genome shotgun sequence.